UGAGGAAUCAGUCCAUCGGCGGGGGAUAGCCGGCCCAACGGCCGGGUAAUACCGCGUACGUCGGCGGGAGCGCAUGCUCCUGCCGGGAAAGCAGCAAUGCACCGAUGGAGGAUCUCGCGGCCUAUCAGCUUGUUGGUGAGGUAACGGCUCACCAAGGCGACGACGGGUAGCUGGUCUGAGAGGAUGGCCAGCCACAUUGGGACUGAGACACGGCCCAGAUCCGUACGGGG
rnacentral:rRNA from 1 species